ACUGUUUAAUUGAGUUGUCUGGUUUCUUCCAGAACCUAGUGACGUCCCACAAAACGUCACAAUUUCUGCUUUGAGUCCUACUAGUGCUCUUAUGUCUUGGUUCCCACCACCAAUGGAACAUCAAAAUGGAAUCAUCAUUGGCUUUAUUGUCCAUGUGUCUGGUGUGAAUACUGAAGAAGUGAUAGAACGGACUGUGACCCAGUUUAGCAAUGAAGUUUUUGAGCUACAUCCGUUUUAUUCGUACAGAUUCUCUGUUGCUGCAGAAACUAUUGCUCCUGGGCCAUUCAGUAAUCCAAUCACAUUGCAACUACCAGAGUCAGCUCCGUCAGCCGCUGUUGAAAAUCUCACCCUGGCAAAUGCACUGGCUACUUCAGUUACUAUAGGAUGGUACCCUGCAAGCCCUUACCAUUGGAAUGGCACUCGCACAGUAUGUUAUUGAAUACCAACUUAUCAGAUCUAUUGAUGAGCAUUCGAGCUCAAAAGUUGUCGAGCCAGUUCUAAGCCAGUCUAUCCCAUCAAUUGGGCAGCCAUUGGCUAACGAACAAAACCCAAUCAGAGUCAAUUCUCCCCUGCUUAUGGAGACGGCACAACUUGAUGGACUUGAGGAAUAUUUCGUCUAUUCAGUAUCAAUAUACUUUGAAACAAGUGCUGGAAGAAGCCUCAGCAGUUCGUUCAUCAUGAUUGAAACGUUACCAUCAGCUCCAAGUGGUCCUCCUACUUUGGUAAAGGCAGUGGCGUCCUCUAUAUCAGUGAGAAUUGAGUGGAUGCCUCCUUAUGCAAGGAGUAGAAAUGGUGUAAUAGCAGGCUACACUGUCGACUUGACAAAUCUUGAAACUAUGGAACAGCUAACAUAUACACUGUAAAAACAAACGUGUUAUUUUAACCCGUGGUAGCGUGUCGUUCGAAUGUCUCCUAAAAUAGCACACUAUACAUACGUGUUACUUGAUAUCAAUGUUAAAACAGCACCCGUGUCAUUGAUUUUUGUGUUAAACCAGCACGUAUGUAGCAUGCAAUAAAUUAUUAAUAGUGA